rnacentral:rRNA from 1 species
GACGAACCGUGCAAACGUUGUUCGGAAUCACUGGGCUUAAAGGGCGCGUAGGCGGGCCAGCCAGUCUGUGGUGAAAGCCCCCGGCUUAACCGGGGAAGUGCCGUGGAUACUGCUGGCCUCGAGGAGGGUAGGGGCACCUGGAACGGUCGGUGGAGCGGUGAAAUGCGUUGAUAUCGACCGGAACUCCGGUGGCGAAGGCGAGGUGCUGGGCCCUUUCUGACGCUGAUGCGCGAAAGCCAGGGGAGCAAACGGGG